ensembl:lncRNA uncharacterized LOC115021354
UUUCAAUACUACUUGAUACUGGGUUAUUUUGGUGUGUACUAAAUACACAGCCCUAUCAGGCACUGUGUCUAUUUGUACUUUGUCCCAUGCACUGUUAAUUCUACAUGUAGUUUUAUUUAAAUAAACCUGCAUUGUGUCCCUGUUCCAGGACCUGCGAGUGGCUCUGGGGGAGAAGGAGCGACUGCUGAAGGAGGUGGGGAAAGAGAGGGAGGUGUGGAGACAGAGGGACCGGGCCCUUGCGUCUGUCCUGCAGGAGAAGGAGGCUCUAAUCCAGGAGCUGCAGAGCGGUCACAAAGCUGUGCAGGUGUGUACAAGAGUGUAAUUUCUGCCUCUGGGGUUGGGGUGGUGGUAUGGCUCCCUUACUUUUCAAAGGGAUAUAAAAUUACAUAAGUGUCCAUUUAAAAAAUGUUUGUUAUUGAAUAAGGGAAGCUGUUACUCACAACAUGUCCUUUACCUCCAGGCUCUCUCUGACUCUGUGACUGGUCAGGGGUUGGACUGGUGAGGGAAAUGGCGCCACCUUGUGCAAGGAGGUCACCAAACUCACCACAGCCCUGCAGGAGUACCAGGACAUGGUGCAGAAUCAGCAGGAGAGUCACAGUCAGACGGUGUCCUCUCUGACGGAUCAACUCAGAAACACUCUGCGGGAGCUGCGGGAGACAGAGAAGCAGAAGAAGGAGGCCGAUAGAUCCUGGCAGAACAGCAGAGAGGACCGAGAGAGAGAGGAGAGGAAACUGAGGGACAGCCUGGAGAAGAGAGACAAACUCAUAGAGCAAAUCCUGUUGGAUGCUGAGGAGCAGGACCAUCUGUUCAGAGAGCUGCAGCAGAACCUGCAGAACAAACGUGAACCUCUGACCGCCAUCAAACACACACUGUGAUCCAGGACGACUACUGUACUGACGAGAUGCAAGCUAAUUGCUAAUUGCACAGAGACGGAAGAUUACUUUUGCACUUUCUGCACCACCUUUUUGCCUCUCUAGCAUAUUUAUCGUGGUGUACAUUAAGUCCUAUUUAUAUUUAUCUUUCUACAUUUUUGAGGUUUGCAUUUGCAGACCUGGCAAUUUUUCCACAAUUGCUACUUGACUGACUCUCGAGAGUGAAUCAGUCAUUUCAGACUUAAGAGAGUCGGACUGAUUGUUUUCAGUUAGGAGAGAUGUCAAGUCCAGCUUUUUAUAGCUGGAUGUUUAAUACUUGAUUUUAAAGAAAUCCCCAGAUUACUGUAUUUAGUUAAUUGUUGAAUGUAAUGGGUCUAAUGGUCAGGCAGUGAUUAGAUUUCAUGCAGUGGGUUUGUUGAUGCAAACCUUUCUGAACGGUAUGAUUGUUAGUGGAUCGGAGUAACAUUUAUUAUGUCCUUUAGGACAUUAGCAGGUACAAUAUUGCUUUAAAUUCCGAAUUAACCUCCCUAUGAAGCUUUUUCUAGUGUCUUUUAUUGUGUUUGUCUCUUCACCUUUUCGGUACAGCGGAACUGUCAUUAUUUUGUUUACAGUGCAAGCUUAGCACUUGUGGAGGGGAAUAGAUGGGACCAAAAUAAUAUUUUUAACAGCUUUCAUUUUCUAUUUUUAUAGCCUGCGGCUUAUUUUUUUGUUUCAUUCAUGUAUCUUCUAUGUUUACAUGUAUUGCUACUCUGGGACUUAUUACUGGAGACAUUUUCUUUCUUUUAACUCAAGAGAAUUAAACACUCUGAUCCAAAUGACUGAUGUCUACAGAUGCUGUUAUUCAUGCAUGCCUGGGGAUGUUGCUGGUUCAGAAGUGUUUUUUUCCAAAUUCUGUAUUCCCAUUAGAAAAGUUUUAUUUGAAUGAUUUAUUAAAUGUUAAUUGCCAUAUAAACACAAGACUCUCUCAGAUAUUUUGAGGAUCAUAUAUGUUUGUUACGACCAUCAUUUCAAAUGAACCUGAACAU